GUCUGCAGCCGCGCCCCCCCCGAACGCGCCCGAUCCCGGCUGACCUCGGAAGCUAAGCGGGGUCGGGCCUGGUGAGUACUUGGUUGGGAGACCACCUAAGAAGACAGGGUGCUGUCGGCA
rnacentral:rRNA from 1 species